rnacentral:ncRNA from 1 species
CCAAACGCAAUGAAAAGAAGAGUAUGCAAACCACAAAGUUUACAGAGAACCUACAUAUGCUGAGAGUAGGAAUGGAGUGCUUGCGGAAGAUGGUCUUGGAGCGGUGUACCGAGGUGAGUAAACACUUAGGCUACAACGGGGUUCGCCCGUCACAGCGAUAGAGUAUGUAUGUACUCGAUAAGGUUUAUAUUGCGAAAUAUAAGCGAAAAAAGGUGGUAACACGGAAGCGACUAACGCUCUCGUCCUUUUA